rnacentral:ribozyme from 1 species
GGUGUGCGAUAGACUUACCUCUACGUGGUGCAAACUGGGCAACGUAUACUCAUACGGCAAAUAAGUCUAU